GACGAACGCUGGCGGCGUGCUUAACACAUGCAAGUCGAACGGAAAGGCCCUGCUUUUGUGGGGUGCUCGAGUGGCGAACGGGUGAGUAACACGUGAGUAACCUGCCCUUGACUUUGGGAUAACUUCAGGAAACUGGGGCUAAUACCGGAUAGGAGCUCCUGCUGCAUGGUGGGGGUUGGAAAGUUUCGGCGGUUGGGGAUGGACUCGCGGCUUAUCAGCUUGUUGGUGGGGUAGUGGCUUACCAAGGCUUUGACGGGUAGCCGGCCUGGGAGGGUGACCGGCGACAAUGGGACUGAGAUACGGCCCAGACUCCUACGGGAGGCAGCAGUGGGGAAUAUUGCACAAUGGGCGGAAGCCUGAUGCAGCAACGCCGCGUGCGGGAUGACGGCCUUCGGGUUGUAAACCGCUUUCGCCUGUGACGAAGCGUGAGUGACGGUAAUGGGUAAAGAAGCACCGGCUAACUACGUG
rnacentral:rRNA from 1 species